UACGGAGGGUGCAAGCGUUUAAUCGGAAUUACUGGGCGUAAAGCGCACGUAGGUGGUUUGUUAAGCCAGCUGUGAAAUCCCCGGGCUCAACCUGGGCACUGCAGUUGGAACUGGCAAGCUAGAGUAGGGUAGAGGGGUGUGGAAUUCCAGGUGUAGCGGUGAAAUGCGUAGAUAUCUGGAGGAACAUCAGUGGCGAAGGCGACACCCUGGACUCAUACUGACACUGAGGUGCGAAAGCGUGGGGAGCAAACAGG
rnacentral:rRNA from 1 species